ACAGCAGCAGCCGCGGUAAUACAGAGGGUGCGAGCGUUAAUCGGAUUUACUGGGCGUAAAGCGUGCGUAGGCGGCUUCUUAAGUCGGAUGUGAAAUCCCUGAGCUUAACUUAGGAAUUGCAUUCGAUACUGGGAAGCUAGAGUAUGGGAGAGGAUGGUAGAAUUCCAGGUGUAGCGGUGAAAUGCGUAGAGAUCUGGAGGAAUACCGAUGGCGAAGGCAGCCAUCUGGCCUAAUACUGACGCUGAGGUACGAAAGCAUGGGGAGCAAACAGGAUUAGAUACCCGAGUAGUCCCUGUCUCUUAUAA
rnacentral:rRNA from 1 species